GUUCUGGGUAGAUUACGACGGUGAUACAGGCUGAUAAGUAAAGUUGGAGAACUGCCAGUUCCUGUGCAGUUGAUGAUUGUGAUAAAUUAUAAACUUUCUCUUUCAUAUACACAUUAGUCAGAACAAGUAAAUGGUAAUAUUAAAUUAGCACAUCAGCAUUUAGAAUUAGUCAAAAAAAAUCAAAGUUAGUCCUAUAUCCAUGUGGACAUAGGGGACAUGUUUGUAGAGAAACGUGCUUAUUAAGCCAUGGGAUGAUGCAGUACGGUGGCCAGUUCCUUUCUGCUAGUACUCUCGUACAGCUGAGUCGACUGAAAAGGGUGACCAGGUGCAAACCCAGGACCUUGUGACUGCAAAAUAUGGCUUAUCUGCCAUAGUCCAGAAUGUAACUGCUCUUCCUUGAUGUUGAGCUCUGCCAGUCCUUCCUACUCUGUGAAUGUAACUGAUAGCUGAAGGCGGGAAGUCAUAGUUGAUGACAAGGUUCACCCCCUUGAAGUCAAUACCACGGGCCAUGAGUUCUGUACAUAUCAGAACCCAGACUUUCCUUUCUCUGAAUGCCCGGACAACAUUAUCACGCUGAAAUGUAUAAGAGAGAGUAAGGUAUCUAAUUCUUCAAGAUGCUGAGAAAUUGAGAUAUAAUAAAGAGGAGUGCUAUUACA